AGAUUGAACGCUGGCGGCAGGCCUAACACAUGCAAGUCGAGCGGCAGCACGGGUACUUGUACCUGGUGGCGAGCGGCGGACGGGUGAGUAAUGCCUAGGAAUCUGCCUGGUAGUGGGGGAUAACGCUCGGAAACGGACGCUAAUACCGCAUACGUCCUACGGGAGAAAGCAGGGGACCUUCGGGCCUUGCGCUAUCAGAUGAGCCUAGGUCGAUUAGCUAGUUGGUGAGGUAAUGGCUCACCAAGGCGACGAUCCGUAACUGGUCUGAGAGGAUGAUCAGUCACACUGGAACUGAGACACGGUCCAGACUCCUACGGAGCAGCAGUGGGAAUAUGACAAUGGGCAAAGCCUGAUCCAGCCAUGCCGCGUGUGUAGAAGAAGGUCUUCGGAUUGUAAAGCAAUUUAACGUUGGAAGGAAGGCUAAGUUUACCAAUUACGUAAGUAGUUUUCGUACGUACCGUAAGACGAAAUAAACG
rnacentral:rRNA from 1 species